rnacentral:piRNA from 1 species
CCUGAGCACUAAGGGCCGAUGCCACAGC